rnacentral:rRNA from 1 species
AUUGAACGCUGGCGGCAGGCCUAACACAUGCAAGUCGAGCGAGCGGCGGACGGGUGAGUAAUGUAUGGGGAUCUGCCCGAUAGAGGGGGAUAAGUACUGGACACGGUGGCUACUACCGCAUAGUUUCGGAUGAAUCUAUUUGGGAUUAGCUAGUAGGUGUGGUAAAGGCUCACCUAGGCGACGAUCUCUACCUGGUCUGAGAGGAUGAUCAGCCACACUGGGACUGAGACACGGCCCAGACUCCUACGGGAGGCAGCAGUGGGGAAUAUUGCACAAUGGGCGCAAGCCUGAUGCAGCCAUGCCGCGUGUAUGAAGAAGGCCUUAGGGUUGUAAAGUACUUUCAGCGGGGAGGCGUUACCCGCAGAAGAAGCACCGGCUAACUCCGUGUCAGCAGCCGCGGUAAUUC